GAUGAACGCUGGCGGCGUGCCUAAUACAUGCAAGUCGAGCGAACGGACGAGAAGCUUGCUUCUCUGAUGUUAGCGGCGGACGGGUGAGUAACACGUGGAUAACCUACCUAUAAGACUGGGAUAACUUCGGGAAACCGGAGCUAAUACCGGAUAAUAUUUUGAACCGCAUGGUUCAAAAGUAAAAGACGGUCUUGCUGUCACUUAUAGAUGGAUCCGCGCUGCAUUAGCUAGUUGGUAAGGUAACGGCUUACCAAGGCAACGAUGCAUAGCCGACCUGAGAGGGUGAUCGGCCACACUGGAACUGAGACACGGUCCAGACUCCUACGGGAGGCAGCAGUAGGGAAUCUUCCGCAAUGGGCGAACGCCUGACGGAGCAACGCCGCGUGAGUGAUGAAGGCCUUCGGAUCGUAAAACUCUGUUAUUAGGGAAGAACAUAUGUGUAAGUAACUGUGCACAUCUUGACGGUACCUAAUCAGAAAGCCACGGCUAACUACGUG
rnacentral:rRNA from 1 species